rnacentral:lncRNA from 1 species
AGGGCUAUCACAAAUUUUCGCGAAUUUAAACGUUUUAUACGAGUUUUGAUGCUUUGGAUAUAGUCACAAUAAAAAAACAAAAAUAAGAUUCAGAAAGUUUGAUCAUUUAUCUUGAAAGUGUAUUAAAUAAAUAUUUUAAUUUGUCCACGUACAUCAGUAAAAUCUUUGUCUCUGCAAAGGAUGUUUCAUAAAAUGUUGCUUUUGGGUAUCUUUUGAUGCUUCGGUACUCCGAGGAUAUAGCAAUUUAACCAUUUAUAAAAAUGUUCAAGAUACAACUAUAUCUUGUACUUGGAAGUGCUUAAAUCAAUUUAUUACAAUUCAUACAGUAUUACACCAAAAAUAAUUCUAUAAAACUGAGAGUUACUGACAAUUUUCCGUACGAAACUAUAUUUUUUAUCUAUGAAAGUAUAAUCCAAAUUCAAAUAAAAAACAUUUAAUAAUUAAGGUGGUAUUGUUAUAAAGCUUGAAAAAAAAAAUUGGUCUAUUUAAAAGUAAAACAAUAUUUUAAAAUAAUUUUUGUUUGCAAUGCAAAAAUCAAUAUAAAUCUUGUGACGCGCGGUGUUCAACUUUAGUCAGCGCCAGGCGCUUACCGAGGAGGGACGUAUCGCUCGCUGUUGCGCCGCGUAAACUCGCCGGAGUUCGAAAAAUAUAGCGCAACCUACGCAUCUAACACGUUUUGAUACUAGAUAAUGAAAGCAUAUUUAAUUCAGACUAUCAGACUCAAUUGAAUACCAGUACAAAUAAUAUGGAAAAUGAAGAUACAAUACAUGGAAGACGAAUUAUAGAUUUUAGUUUUUUUUAUAAAUCAAUUACUUAUAAUUGAUAAACAUGGUGAAAAGUUUGGUUGUCGAUUAAAUAAUUUAAAAAUUGUAAACGAUUACUUGUUUAUUGUAACCAUAGAUAUAAUAUUACUAAACAAGAUUGCGCACGCUCAAAAUAUAUAUUUACGAAAAUGAACUCUAUACUAACGCAAUAAGGUACUAAAUUGGUUGCAUAAUACACAGAGGCAAAUCCGAGCCGAGAGGGAUAGUUCGAACGGAGGCUGUUUGCCUCUUUCUAACACCUUGCCAGCAUAAAAAAAUGUUGUGAUCAAAAGUUUUGUCUUCCCAAAAAACAAUUGAAUCACUUAUAUUUUUAUCUUAUUUUAACAAUUGUAAGUCAACAAAUUAAUAACAAUCGCAUUAAUUUAUUCGUAUUUAUUAUUAAAACAUAAACAACAUAAAUUUUUAUUUUGCUUUUUUUUAUUUUCUAGCGGUAACCCUGAACAUUCUUGGCGCGUAAUCAGCAUUUAAAAUUUUGUUUAUAUUUUUUUGUAUUAAAUCAAUUUAAACUAUUAAAAUGGUGAAAAGUGUUGCGUUUCUACUUGCAAAAGUGAAUCCUAUGGUGGUUGCAAUAUAUCGUUCCACAGGUUAGCUAAUAAUAACAUUUUCGUAAACCAAACAACUAGGGUGCCCAUGAAUUCUUGUAACGAGUCAAAAUAUGGGUGAUGGAUUUUAAAACUGUUGUACUAUUGUUAUAGCUUCCCAAAAAAUGAAGAAAGGCGACAUAAAUGGCUCAGCAGUCUAUAUAUGAAGUAGAAGUACAAAAAAAACAGUCUUCACUUCGAAUCUUCCUGCUUUUAUACUGCUAAUUUCCGCUAAUUAUUAAAAGCCUUUAUUAGUAUCUUAAGGUCACAAACUGCGUAAGUUAAAACUUCAAUACUAAUCUGUGUUUAAUAAUCUUAGCAAACUCGGAUUGGUCUCACAUAGCUUAAUCUCAUAGUCACCCUAUUAGAAAGGGACAGACAGCCUCCGUACUAACUGUUUCACUCGGCUCGUUUUUUGGGUUUAUAUGCGCAGUCCUGUUUACUAAUAUUAUGUCUAUGAUUGUAAC